rnacentral:rRNA from 1 species
UUCCUGUCCUGUAGUUCAAUACACUAUUCUAAGGCCAGUUGCCUAUACAGGAGCAAGUUUCUAGUACAGUCAGCUUUGGUUAUCACUACACCCUCUCUAGACAAAUGAUUUGAUUCAAGCAAAUCUACUACUACUACUACAGUAGCACCCUGCCUUAAUAAUCGCAUAGGCACCCGGGAACCUAACUCAGCAAAGAAGGAUACUCCCUAA